GGGUUGUGAGGUUAAGCGACUAAGCGUACACGGUGGAUGCCCUGGCAGUCAGAGGCGAUGAAGGGCGUGCUAAUCUGCGAUAAGCGCCGGUAAGGUGAUAUGAACCGUUAUAACCGGCGAUACCCGAAUGGGGAAACCCAGUGUGACUCGUCACACUAUCAUUAACUGAAUCCAUAGGUUAAUGAGGCGAACCGGGGGAACUGAAACAUCUAAGUACCCCGAGGAAAAGAAAUCAACCGAGAUUCCCCCAGUAGCGGCGAGCGAACGGGGAGGAGCCCAGAGCCUGAAUCAGCAUGUGUGUUAGUGGAAGCGUCUGGAAAGGCGCGCGAUACAGGGUGACAGCCCCGUACACAAAAGCGCAUGUGCUGUGAGCUCGAUGAGUAGGGCGGGACACGUGGUAUCCUGUCUGAAUAUGGGGGGACCAUCCUCCAAGGCUAAAUACUCCUGACUGACCGAUAGUGAACCAGUACCGUGAGGGAAAGGCGAAAAGAACCCCGGCGAGGGGAGUGAAAAAGAACCUGAAACCGUGUACGUACAAGCAGUGGGAGCACAGGUUUACCUGUGUGACUGCGUACCUUUUGUAUAAUGGGUCAGCGACUUAUAUUCUGUAGCAAGGUUAACCGAAUAGGGGAGCCGGAGGGAAACCGAGUCUUAACCGGGCGUUAAGUUGCAGGGUAUAGACCCGAAACCCGGUGAUCUAGCCAUGGGCAGGUUGAAGGUUGGGUAACACUAACUGGAGGACCGAACCGACUAAUGUUGAAAAAUUAGCGGAUGACCUGUGGCUGGGGGUGAAAGGCCAAUCAAACCGGGAGAUAGCUGGUUCUCCCCGAAAGCUAUUUAGGUAGCGCCUCGUGAACUCAUCUCCGGGGGUAGAGCACUGUUUCGGCUAGGGGGCCAUCCCGGCUUACCAACCCGAUGCAAACUGCGAAUACCGGAGAAUGUUAUCACGGGAGACACACGGCGGGUGCUAACGUCCGUCGUGAAGAGGGAAACAACCCAGACCGCCAGCUAAGGUCCCAAAGUCAUGGUUAAGUGGGAAACGAUGUGGGAAGGCCCAGACAGCCAGGAUGUUGGCUUAGAAGCAGCCAUCAUUUAAAGAAAGCGUAAUAGCUCACUGGUCGAGUCGGCCUGCGCGGAAGAUGUAACGGGGCUAAACCAUGCACCGAAGCUGCGGCAGCGAACGUAUCACUUAAAGCGAUUCAGCGGGUUACGAUUGACGGAGCGAAGCGACGUCAAAGCGUAUACAAAGUCGAGUCGGUUUAAGGAUACGUUCGUUGGGUAGGGGAGCGUUCUGUAAGCCUGUGAAGGUGGCCUGUGAGGGUUGCUGGAGGUAUCAGAAGUGCGAAUGCUGACAUAAGUAACGAUAAAGCGGGUGAAAAGCCCGCUCGCCGGAAGACCAAGGGUUCCUGUCCAACGUUAAUCGGGGCAGGGUGAGUCGACCCCUAAGGCGAGGCCGAAAGGCGUAGUCGAUGGGAAACGGGUUAAUAUUCCCGUACUUGGUGUUACUGCGAAGGGGGGACGGAGAAGGCUAUGUUGGCCGGGCGACGGUUGUCCCGGUUUAAGCGUGUAGGUGUGUGUUCCAGGUAAAUCCGGUUCACUUUAACACUGAGGCGUGAUGACGAGGCACUACGGUGCUGAAGCAACAAAUGCCCUGCUUCCAGGAAAAGCCUCUAAGCAUCAGGUAACAUCAAAUCGUACCCCAAACCGACACAGGUGGUCAGGUAGAGAAUACCAAGGCGCUUGAGAGAACUCGGGUGAAGGAACUAGGCAAAAUGGUGCCGUAACUUCGGGAGAAGGCACGCUGACACGUAGGUGAAGUGAUUUACUCAUGGAGCUGAAGUCAGUCGAAGAUACCAGCUGGCUGCAACUGUUUAUUAAAAACACAGCACUGUGCAAACACGAAAGUGGACGUAUACGGUGUGACGCCUGCCCGGUGCCGGAAGGUUAAUUGAUGGGGUCAGCGCAAGCGAAGCUCCUGAUCGAAGCCCCGGUAAACGGCGGCCGUAACUAUAACGGUCCUAAGGUAGCGAAAUUCCUUGUCGGGUAAGUUCCGACCUGCACGAAUGGCGUAAUGAUGGCCAGGCUGUCUCCACCCGAGACUCAGUGAAAUUGAACUCGCUGUGAAGAUGCAGUGUACCCGCGGCAAGACGGAAAGACCCCGUGAACCUUUACUAUAGCUUGACACUGAACAUUGAGCCUUGAUGUGUAGGAUAGGUGGGAGGCUUUGAAGCGUGGACGCCAGUCUGCGUGGAGCCAACCUUGAAAUACCACCCUUUAAUGUUUGAUGUUCUAACGUGGACCCGUAAUCCGGGUUGCGGACAGUGUCUGGUGGGUAGUUUGACUGGGGCGGUCUCCUCCUAAAGAGUAACGGAGGAGCACGAAGGUUGGCUAAUCCUGGUCGGACAUCAGGAGGUUAGUGCAAUGGCAUAAGCCAGCUUGACUGCGAGCGUGACGGCGCGAGCAGGUGCGAAAGCAGGUCAUAGUGAUCCGGUGGUUCUGAAUGGAAGGGCCAUCGCUCAACGGAUAAAAGGUACUCCGGGGAUAACAGGCUGAUACCGCCCAAGAGUUCAUAUCGACGGCGGUGUUUGGCACCUCGAUGUCGGCUCAUCACAUCCUGGGGCUGAAGUAGGUCCCAAGGGUAUGGCUGUUCGCCAUUUAAAGUGGUACGCGAGCUGGGUUUAGAACGUCGUGAGACAGUUCGGUCCCUAUCUGCCGUGGGCGCUGGAGAACUGAGGGGGGCUGCUCCUAGUACGAGAGGACCGGAGUGGACGCAUCACUGGUGUUCGGGUUGUCAUGCCAAUGGCACUGCCCGGUAGCUAAAUGCGGAAGAGAUAAGUGCUGAAAGCAUCUAAGCACGAAACUUGCCCCGAGAUGAGUUCUCCCUGAGACUUUAGGUCUCCUGAAGGAACGUUGAAGACGACGACGUUGAUAGGCCGGGUGUGUAAGCGCAGCGAUGCGUUGAGCUAACCGGUACUAAUGAACCGUGAGGCUUAACCUUACAACGCCGAAG
rnacentral:rRNA from 1 species